rnacentral:lncRNA from 1 species
AAAAAAAAUACAGAAAGUAAAAGCAUAACAGAAAUCAAAAUUAGGUAAUUAAGAAUUUUAUUAGAAUGGUAAAUAUAGAUCAAUGUCAUCCAUAAGUCCCUGAGUGCUUUAGAAGAGCAUCUACUGAUAAAUAAGAGGUUGUUUUCUUUUUUUCUUAAGGGACAACACACAGAAAAUUUACAGGAUGUGUAAAAAUUCAUUCUGUCAUUAUAAAAAGACCUCUCCUGGGGCCUGUUUCUUAUUUCAUUCGGAGCUAUGCAGAACACAUUUAAGUAGAGGACUUCAAGUAUGUUGAUUUUUAAGAAGGAGCUCUUCAGGGACUACAGCAAGAUGGGAAACAGGAGCUGGCACUUUUCAUCUUCUGAACACUCUUCUUUCAUUGCCACAGCUGCACAGUGCCCAUUUUUCAGAUGCCAUAGUUGCAUACCCAUAGCAGCCGAUGUACAGAACAGGAC